rnacentral:lncRNA from 1 species
CUCCGCUGAAGAAGGGCCCCGGGGGGCUGAUCGGGCUGAUGAAGGACGCCUUCCAGCCCCACCACCACCACCUCGGCCCCCACCAGCCCGGCGCCGUGGAUAAGAAGAUGGUGGAGAAGUGCUGGAAGCUGAUGGACAAGGUGGGGCUGGGGGAUGGGGUUUGGAGGGGGUUUGGGGGGGGUUUGGGGUUUGGGGAGGGGGGUUUGGGGGGCUUAUGGGGGUGUUUAGGGGGGUGUUUUGGGGUUUGGGGGGGAAUGGGGUCCCUAGGGCAGUGGGAAGUGAUGUUAGGGGGCUAUGGGAGGUUUUGGGGUUGGGGGGAGGUUUUUGGGGGGUUGGGGGAAGGAGGAGGUAGGGUUUGGGGUGUGGGGGGGUUAUAGGGUCGUGGGGAAAGGAAGGGAAAGGUUUUGGGGGUGGGGGCGGAGGGAGCAGGGAGGGUUUGGGGUAGGGGGGUGGGAGGAGGGUUGGGGGUGGUGGGUAAGGAGGGUUUUAUUUUGGGGGGUGUAGGGGAAGUUGAGGUGUUUUGGGGCGGGGGGAUCGCCCCGUGGUGUUCCCAUGGGCAGAGGCUGGCUGUGGGCCGGCCCUGGGGGGCUGCAGGUGAAUUUUGGGGUGCCCCAUGGGGUGCAGGCCUGUGCUGGGAGCCUGCUUUGUCCCCUGAGCCCCUAGGGCUGUGUGGCUGGGGCCGGGCUCAGCACAGCUCCUGCUCCUUAAAAAACCCCAAAAGCGUCAGUGGGAGCCCCUGGUGCAGCCCUGCGAGGAGCUGGGGGCCGUCUGCCUGCCCUCCCCUCCCCUCCUCCGCUGUAAAAUGCCAGGAAAUGGCUGUUGUGGGGGCAGGACAGCGGGACUCGGGGCCUGACGGAUCACAGAGCUACGGCCUGGAGAAGGGACUUGUUGUAGGAAAUCCCGGCGAGCGCUUGGUUUGUUUGGGAUCCUGGCGUUAUUUAUGGAGCGACCCGGGGAACGAGCAUCCAGAAAGGAGCAGAAACGAAUGCAGCUCUUCGUUCCUGCCUGGACGUGAUGGAUGUGGAUGUCAGCCCCUGUUUGACUCCGUCGGCUGGGCUGCUCGGAGCAGGCAGCCUGCAAAAAGCUCCGAGUCCCCUGGCGUGGCUGGGGGAUGCGUUCACAUCACAUCUGGGGAGCCACGGUGAAAUCACCAGCAGAAAAGCCGAGCCAGGGCUACCCCCGUGUGUGCCACGGGUCCAGGUAACCUCAUCCCAGUGUGCACGCACCUCCCGGCUCUGCUGCCGGAGUCAAACACGGGUUGGCAUCCACAUCAGGUGAGGUUUUGGUGAAUUUGGGUUGUGUUAUGCCCACUUAGAAGACGUUUGGGUCAGAAAUUUGUUUAAUAGUGCAGCAAAUUGCCCGGCUUUUAUACAGUGGUUGUGGAAGGAGCGAUGAGAGAGGAUAAACGAGUGGAAGCUGUCGGAAUUGGGUUGGCUUUUCGGGCCAAUUAAGUGAAAUUACAGGUACAAAUUGGAAAAAAAAACAACCAACCAAUAACCAUUAGUAGCUGAUGCUUGCCUUGCAGAGCCGUGAGCUGUAUCUGUGCGUUCACAACCUGGUUCCUUGCUCUGCACCAUGAGCUGCUGCCCGAGCACUCGCACCUCUCUGCUUCAGGAGCCGCCUCCUGUGUUUCCCAUGCGAGCUGCUCCUCCUCCAGAUGCUCCUCAGGACCUUCUCUGAUGUGUCCCUGUCCUUCAGACCCCUGCAGCUCAGCUUUUUGGUGGUGCUGAGCGCCUCUCCUGCCGUGGGACGUGGUAGGGUGGCACGGGUGGCCCUCUCCAUCCCCGCAGCAGGAUGCUGAGCUGGGUGAGGGCGAUGGAUUUGGCUCUGCCCCGGCAGUUCGGAUGCCUGCGAGCCUGCAAACCCGCAGCAGUCACUUCCUUCUGGGCUCCAACCUGGUGGCCUACAGCUUGCUUCAGCUGCUUUCGGGUUGUUUUUAUCGUGCUGGCUCAUCUUAUCACAGUUUUCAGCAAAUAAAGCGGUGCUCGGUGUCA